UACAGAGGGUGCAAGCGUUAAUCGGAAUUACUGGGCGUAAAGCGCGCGUAGGCGGCUUGACAAGUCGAGUGUGAAAUCCCCGGGCUUAACCUGGGAGCUGCAUUCGAAACUGUCUUGCUAGAGUAUGGGAGAGGGAAGUGGAAUUUCAGGUGUAGCGGUGAAAUGCGUAGAUAUCUGAAGGAACAUCAGUGGCGAAAAGCGACUUCCUGGACCAAUACUGACGCUCAGGUGCGAAAGCGUGGGGAGCAAACAGG
rnacentral:rRNA from 1 species